GAGGGCACAGAGUCAUUUACGGGAGUGGAAGAGUACGUGGGCUGGGUAGAGGGAAAGAUCCGGGAUGAUCUGGAUAAAUGUCUUGGCAUGUCAAGUGGGAACACAUAUGCUUCCUACUAAGGAAAAUAAACUGCAAUGUAUUUUUA